rnacentral:rRNA from 1 species
UACGGGGGGGGCAAGCGUUGUUCGGAAUUACUGGGCGUAAAGGGCUCGUAGGCGCCAACUAAGUCAGACGUGAAAUCCCUCGGCUUAACCGGGGAACUGCGUCCGAUACUGGUUGGCUUGAGUUUGGGAGAGGGAUGCGGAAUUCCAGGUGUAGCGGUGAAAUGCGUAGAUAUCUGGAGGAACACCGGUGGCGAAGGCGGCAUCCUGGACCAAUACUGACGCUGAGGAGCGAAAGCCAGGGGAGCAAAGC